GACAGAGGGGGCAAGCGUUGCUCGGAAUCACUGGGCGUAAAGGGCGCGUAGGCGGGACUGCAAGUCGGUCGUGAAAUCUCCGGGCUCAACCCGGAGGAGUCGGCCGAAACUGUGGUUCUUGAGGGAGGCAGAGGAGUCUGGAAUUCCCGGUGUAGCGGUGAAAUGUGUAGAGAUCGGGAGGAACACCGGUGGCGAAGGCGGGACUCUGGGCCUACCCUGACGCUGAGGCGCGAAGGCGUGGGGAGCAAACGGG
rnacentral:rRNA from 1 species